CCUACGGGAGGCAGCAGUGGGGAAUAUUGCACAAUGGUGGAAACCCUGAUGCAGCGACGCCGCGUGAGCGAUGACGUCUCUCGGUAUGUAAAGCUCUAUCAGCAGGGAAGAAAAUGACGGUACCUGACUUAGAAGCCCCGGCCAACUACGUGCCGGAAGCCGCGGUUAUACGGAGGGGGCCAGCGUUAUCCGGAUUUACGGGGUGUUAAGGGAGUGGAGAUGGUUCUGCAAGCCAGAUGUGAAAGUCCGGGGCGCAACCCCGGGACUGCAGUGGGAACUGGAAGGCUUGAGUGAGGGAGAGGUAUGCGGAAUUCGUGGUGUAGCGGUGAAAUGCGUAGAUAUUAGGAGGAACACCAGUGGCGAAGGCGGCCUGCGGGACGAUGACUGACGUUGAGGCUCGAAAGCGUGGGGAGCGAACAGGAGUAGAUACCCCAGUAGUC
rnacentral:rRNA from 1 species